GACAGCAGCUGACCUGAUCCUCCACCAUGCCAAUCAGUGUACAGAUGGGGAGUGCAUCAAAUCUCAGUUGUCAGAGUUGGUGAAGGAGGCCAGGAAGAAUGCAGCAUCCCUGGGGAAGUUGUUCAUUAUCAGGUGAAGCUGGAGAGUAGUUUUGCAUCUGUCUUGGCCUCCAUAUUUACCUUGGAAGGAAUCGGCCGCGCUGUGGACCCUGAGAUUGACAUUCUGGAGGCAGCCCGGCCAUUCCUGCUGAAGAAUGCCACAUUGACGGUAUAAAGACACAGGGACAUCAUGUACAGUACAUAUACUGGAUGAGAUCUGGAUGAAGCUCCUGUAAUAGGUGUGUUUCCAAACAGGAGCUUUUUUUAAUAAUAAAAUGCAGGUUUCACCCUGAAA